UACGUAGGGGGCUAGCGUUAUCCGGAAUUACUGGGCGUAAAGGGUGCGUAGGUGGUUUCUUAAGUCAGAGGUGAAAGGCUACGGCUCAACCGUAGUAAGCCUUUGAAACUGGGAAACUUGAGUGCAGGAGAGGAGAGUGGAAUUCCUAGUGUGGCGGUGAAAUGCGUAGAUAUUAGGAGGAACACCAGUUGCGAAGGCAGCUCUCUGGACUGUAACUGACACUGAGGCACGAAAGCGUGGGGAGCAAACAGGAUUAGAUACCCGUGUAGUCCCUGAG
rnacentral:rRNA from 1 species